rnacentral:rRNA from 1 species
GGCCUGUCUUACACAUGCAAGUCGAACGGCAGCGCGGACUUCGGUCUGGCGGCGAGUGGCGAACGGGUGAGUAAUACAUCGGAACGUAUCCUGUUGUGGGGGAUAACUAGUCGAGAGAUUAGCUAAUACCGCAUACGACCUGAGGGUGAAAGUGGGGGACCGGAAACGGCCUCAUGCAGCAGGAGCGGCCGAUGUCUGAUUAGCUAGUUGGUGGGGUAAAGGCCCACCAAGGCGACGAUCAGUAGCUGGUCUGAGAGGACGAUCAGCCACACUGGGACUGAGACACGGCCCAGACUCCUACGGGAGGCAGCAGUGGGGAAUUUUGGACAAUGGGGGCAACCCUGAUCCAGCAAUGCCGCGUGUGUGAAGAAGGCCUUCGGGUUGUAAAGCACUUUUGUCCGGAAAGAAAGCGCCCUGGCUAAUACCUGGGGUGGAUGACGGUACCGGAAGAAUAAGCACCGGCUAACUACGUGCCAGCAGCCGCGGUAAUACGUAGGGUGCGAGCGUUAAUCGGAAUUACUGGGCGUAAAGCGUGCGCAGGCGGUUUUGUAAGACAGGCGUGAAAUCCCCGGGCUUAACCUGGGAACUGCAUUUGUGACUGCAUAGCUAGAGUACGGCAGAGGGGGAUGGAAUUCCGCGUGUAGCAGUGAAAUGCGUAGAUAUGCGGAGGAACACCGAUGGCGAAGGCAAUCCCCUGGGCCUGUACUGACGCUCAUGCACGAAAGCGUGGGGGAGCAAACAGGAUUAGAUACCCUGGUAGUCCACGCCCUAAACGAUGUCAACUGGUUGUUGGGUCUUCACUGACUCAGUAACCGAAGCUAAC